AAUACAUUUGGUGUAUUUUUAGAACCAUAGAUAGAUCUACAGAAGACUGGACCGCAGUGCCCUAAAUUUCUUUACAUUGCCGGAGAAAGAUGCUGAAGCUGUUUAAAUGAGGAAACCACAAAGAAAAUGAAUUGAGUUAUUACUACAUGACAUCACAGUGAUAGUUACCAUUCUACUACUUAUUAAUACUACUACAUAAGCAGAAUCAUUGCACAGAAGAGCUACGUAGAGAGAUUUUCAAUCAGCUUUGACAAGGAAUAAUAAAUAGUUUGGAGAAGAAGAGACUAUCAUGUUAAUUCAUCGCUCUCAAGAAAUUCCCAAGGAGCGGCAAUGGACAAGAAGGUACUGGUCUAUGAUCCUAUGAAUCUCUUGUCACUGGUAAGCAAUGAUAGGAUGUGUGGGAAUGGCACAAAGCUGCUCCAGGGAACAUUCAGACCGGACAGUAGGAAAAAAGUUAUUUACUGUGAGGAUGGACAAACACUGUAACAUGCUUUCUCACAAGGUCCUUGAUGGCCCACGCCUGUUAGUGUUCAAGUGGUAUUUGGAUAAUGUCCUUAAUAAUAUGCUUUAACUUCUGGUUAGCCCUGAAGUGGUCAGGCAGUUGGACUCAACGAUCUUUUUA